GAUGAACGCUGGCGGCGUGCCUAAUACAUGCAAGUCGAGCGAACGGACGAGAAGCUUGCUUCUCUGAUGUUAGCGGCGGACGGGUGAGUAACACGUUGAUAACCUACCUAUAAGACUGUGAUAACUUCGGGAAACCGGAGCUAAUACCGGAUAAUAUUUUGAACCGCAUGGUUCAAAAGUGAAAGACGGUCUUGCUGUCACUUAUAGAUGGAUCCGCGCUGCAUUAGCUAGUUGGUAAGGUAACGGCUUACCAAAGCAACGAUGCAUAGCCGACCUGAGAGGGUGAUCGGCCACACUGGAACUGAGACACGGUCCAGACUCCUACGGGAGGCAGCAGUAGGGAAUCUUCCGCAAUGGGCGAAAGCCUGACGGAGCAACGCCGCGUGAGUGAUGAAGGUCUUCGGAUCGUAAAACUCUGUUAUUAGGGAAGAACAUAUGUGUAAGUAACUGUGCACAUCUUGACGGUACCUAAUCAGAAAGCCACGGCUAACUACGUG
rnacentral:rRNA from 1 species